rnacentral:rRNA from 1 species
AGAGUUUGAUCCUGGCUCAGGAUGAACGCUGGCGGCGUGCCUAACACAUGCAAGUCGAGCGAAGCGAUGUUAAGGAAGUUUUCGGAUGGAAUUAAGAUUGACUUAGCGGCGGACGGGUGAGUAACGCGUGGGUAACCUGCCUUAUACAGGGGGAUAACAGUUAGAAAUGACUGCUAAUACCGCAUAAGCGCACGGGAACGCAUGUUUCUGUGUGAAAAACUGAGGUAGUAUAAGAUGGACCCGCGUCUGAUUAGCUAGUUGGUGGGGUAACGGCCUACCAAGGCGACGAUCAGUAGCCGGCCUGAGAGGGUGACCGGCCACAUUGGGACUGAGACACGGCCAAAACUCCUACGGGAGGCAGCAGUGGGGAAUAUUGCACAAUGGGGGAAACCCUGAUGCAGCGACGCCGCGUGAGUGAAGAAGUAUUUCGGUAUGUAAAGCUCUAUCAGCAGGGAAGAAGCAAGACGGUACCUGACUAAGAAGCCCCGGCUAACUACGUGCCAGCAGCCGCGGUAAUACGUAGGGGGCAAGCGUUAUCCGGAUUUACUGGGUGUAAAGGGAGCGUAGACGGUAUGGCAAGUCUGAAGUGAAAGCCCAGGGCUUAACCCUGGGACUGCUUUGGAAACUGUUAGACUAGAGUGCUGGAGAGGUAAGUGGAAUUCCUAGUGUAGCGGUGAAAUGCGUAGAUAUUAGGAGGAACACCAGUGGCGAAGGCGGCUUACUGGACAGUAACUGACGUUGAGGCUCGAAAGCGUGGGGAGCAAACAGGAUUAGAUACCCUGGUAGUCCACGCUGUAAACGAUG